GGGGAAUAUUGCACAAUGGGGGAAACCCUGAUGCAGCGACGCCGCGUGGAGGAAGAAGGUCUUCGGAUUGUAAACUCCUGUUGUUGGGGAAGAUAAUGACGGUACCCAACAAGGAAGUGACGGCUAACUACGUGCCAGCAGCCGCGGUAAAACGUAGGUCACAAGCGUUGUCCGGAAUUACUGGGUGUAAAGGGAGCGCAGGCGGGAAGACAAGUUGGAAGUGAAAUCUAUGGGCUCAACCCAUAAACUGCUUUCAAAACUGUUUUUCUUGAGUAGUGCAGAGGUAGGCGGAAUUCCCGGUGUAGCGGUGGAAUGCGUAGAUAUCGGGAGGAACACCAGUGGCGAAGGCGGCCUACUGGGCACCAACUGACGCUGAGGCUCGAAAGUGUGGGUAGCAAACAGGAUUAGAUACCCUGGUAGUCCACACCGUAAACGAUGAUUACUAGGUGUUGGAGGAUUGACCCCUUCAGUGCCGCAGUUAACACAAUAAGUAAUCCACCUGGGGAGUACGACCGCAAGGUUGAAACUCAAAGGAAUUGACGGGGGCCCGCACAAGCAGUGGAGUAUGUGGUUUAAUUCGACGCAACGCGAAGAACCUUACCAAGUCUUGACAUCCCUUGACAGACAUAGAAAUAUGUAAUCUCUUCGGAGCAAGGAGACAGGUGGUGCAUGGUUGUCGUCAGCUCGUGUCGUGAGAUGUUGGGUUAAGUCCCGCAACGAGCGCAACCCUUAUGGUCAGUUACUACGCAAGAGGACUCUGGCCAGACUGCCGUUGACAAAACGGAGGAAGGUGGGGAUGACGUCAAAUCAUCAUGCCCUUUAUGACUUGGGCUACACACGUACUACAAGGGCGUUAAACAAAGAGAAGCAAGACCGCGAGGUGGAGCAAAACUCAAAAACAACGUCUCAGUUCAGAUUGCAGGCUGCAACUCGCCUGCAUGAAGUCGGAAUUGCUAGUAAUCGCGGAUCAGCAUGCCACGGUGAAUACGUUCCCG
rnacentral:rRNA from 1 species